UACGAAGGGGGCUAGCGUUGUUCGGAAUCACUGGGCGUAAAGGGCGCGUAGGCGGCUAUGUAAGUCGGGGGUGAAAGCCUGUGGCUCAACCACAGAAUUGCCUUCGAUACUGCAUGGCUUGAGACCGGAAGAGGUCAGCGGAACUGCGAGUGUAGAGGUGAAAUUCGUAGAUAUUCGCAAGAACACCAGUGGCGAAGGCGGCUGACUGGUCCGGAUCUGACGCUGAGGCGCGAAAGCGUGGGGAGCGAACGAG
rnacentral:rRNA from 1 species